rnacentral:piRNA from 1 species
UAGAAGAAUUAUCUUGUCUAUCAGAUUGCU